CUUAGCCAACAGAUAACAGGGAGCAGGGAGGCACCCACUUGGAUCUUGCCUACACAUUAUAAAAUGUACAGUCUGACUACCAGAACUGCUCAUCAGGAUAUUCAACUGACCUAUUUCUACAAUUGAAGUGAAUGCACCCAUGCUGAUUUCCUGGCUCUCAACACUGGGAGAAAGGUAGCAGAGGCAGAUUGCAUCAGACAGAUCUUUUCUCUGUUCCCCAUAACUGCAAAUGAGUGGACUACAUGGGAUUUACAGGUGUGCUGAGCUAAGACCUAGACGGUUGCUAAGGAUUGGAGUUGGCUAUGGAUUGGAGAUGAGAUGAGUGAGUGGCACACCAUGCCUUGCUUACGUUACAAAUGCUACAUCACCAGCUGGUAUCUUUGUAAAGUGAUUUUUUGAGAUGGAGGAUUAAAAACAUUUCAGAAGGA